GACGAACGCUGGCGGCGUGCUUAACACAUGCAAGUCGAACGGAAAGGCCCUGCUUUUGUGGGGUGCUCGAGUGGCGAACGGGUGAGUAACACGUGAGUAACCUGCCCUUGACUUUGGGAUAACUUCAGGAAACUGGGGCUAAUACCGGAUAGGAGCUCCUGCUGCAUGGUGGGGGUUGGAAAGUUUCGGCGGUUGGGGAUGGACUCGCGGCUUAUCAGCUCGUUGGUGGGGUAGUGGCUUACCAAGGCUUUGACGGGUAGCCGGCCUGAGAGGGUGACCGGCCACAUUGGGACUGAGAUACGGCCCAGACUCCUACGGGAGACAGCAGUGGGGAAUAUUGCACAAUGGGCGGAAGCCUGAUGCAGCAACGCCGCGUGCGGGAUGACGGCCUUCGGGUUGUAAACCGCUUUCGCCUGUGACGAAGCGUGAGUGACGGUAAUGGGUAAAGAAGCACCGGCUAACUACGUG
rnacentral:rRNA from 1 species